AUGUCUCCGAGCUGCCAGUUCUUCUCGGCCCUAUGGCUAGCACUGAUGCUAGCCGUCGUGGCGGCUGAGGAGCAGCAAGGAGAAGGCUGCUCGGGCUCGCCCAAGACAUGCGGCGACCUGAGCAUCUCCUACCCAUUCUGGCUCACCAACUGGGAGACAGGAAGACCAUGCCCUUCCCCGGACUAUGAGGCUCCAACAGCUGCCAUGUACCGAUUUGGAACACCUCCGUCAAACUGGCCCGUCCUUUUAGGAUCAACACCGCCAACCAGAACCUCGUCAGUGUACAAUUGCACGGAGGAGGCCGCAGCAGCGGCUGUGGCACGCCGGGACAAAGAGCUGGUGCGGACGAGCCUGAGGUGUGGGAACGGGAGCAACAUGUUUGUUCGUGUUGGCAUGCGUUCCGACGCGACCGGGAAUUACUCCGGUUAUGCUCUGAAAGGUUGUGACACUGUCAUCGUGCCGGUGAUGGCCACGUCGGGUGUGACAAAUACGACUGACUACGAGCAGUUCAUCACCGAUAGCCAAUGUUUUAAGUAG
rnacentral:rRNA from 1 species